UCCUGUGAUUCAGUGAGGAGCUUCGCCGGAAGACGGGUUUCCUGCUCCUCCGUUAUAAAAGCGACACUUUAUCAGCAACCUGCUAUGCUGAGGUACAUUCCACCAAAGGAGCACCAAAGAAAAACAUAAUGCAGCGUGCAGUGAUCGCCAUCUUUGUGCUCGUCCUUGUGGCCUGCGCUUUGGUAGCCGUUGAAGCCCAAUUCGGCCGAGGGUACGGCGGUGGAUACGGUGGAGGUCGCGGCUUCGGUGGUGGAUAUGGUGGAGGUCGUGGAUUCGGUGGAGGAUAUGGCGGAGGACGCGGAUUCGGCGGUGGACGCGGAUUCGGCGGUGGAUACGGCGGUGGCCGUGGAUACUAUGGUUAAUCCAUCUACAGCAGGAGGCACAGCGAUGUUCCACUCCGACUAAGAAGCUGCCCAUCCAAGCAGAAUGCUGACCUAUUUGCAAAAUAAUGAGAGGCUGUGUGCGACAUGCUGAGCUUGUGAAACGACGUGAAUAAACAGUUUUCAUCGGUUGUGA